rnacentral:rRNA from 1 species
AGGAUGAACGCUGGCGGUCUGCUUAACACAUGCAAGUCGAACGGAGUACCUCGGUACUUAGUGGCGGACGGGUGAGUAACGCGUGAGAAUCUGCCCUUAGGUCGGGGACAACCAUUGGAAACGAUGGCUAAUACCGGAUAAGCCGAGAGGUAAAAGAUUAAUUGCCUAGGGAAGAGCUCGCGUCUGAUUAGCUAGUUGGUGAGGUAAAGGCUCACCAAGGCAUCGAUCAGUAGCUGGUCUGAGAGGAUGAUCAGCCACACUGGGACUGAGACACGGCCCAGACUCCUACGGGAGGCAGCAGUGGGGAAUUUUCCGCAAUGGGCGAAAGCCUGACGGAGCAAGACCGCGUGAGGGAGGAAGGCUCUUGGGUUGUAAACCUCUUUUCUUGGGGAAGAACAAAAUGACGGUACCAAGGAUCAGCAUCGGCUAACUCCGUGCCAGCAGCCGC